AUGUACGUAGAUACCCUUAUAUCGAGUCGGAUAGGACACAACGCACGUUCAUCGAGAGUCGGACGAAGAGAAGAAAUCGCGCCUUUAGGCGUCGACGCGCGUGUACGGUGGAAGCGGAUAUUUGGGCGGUGACACAAAGUGAUCCCUGCACAGGGAAAAGCUCUGAAAUGCCCAAUUUUAGGGACAGAGGAUCCACCUGCAUUGUAUUAUUUUCGGGAUGAAUUGGGUAGCAAAAAUGAUGGAAUAAGAAAUGGUCCGAUUCUUAUGAUUUUCUUUUCUUCAAUCUCAUCCGGCGGCAUUGCAUCGCUGACGCACCUAUACCACGACGUUAUAAACGCGCUGCCUCAAAUUAUAUACAC
rnacentral:misc_RNA from 1 species